ACGCCGUCACUGGGAAUUUACCUAGUUUCCCCUUAUAAGAUGAUCAGCAGACGCUUCUAUCAUAAAAGUUAGCAGGCUCAGAUAGCAAUUAGGGAUUCAGGGCCUUGCUCUGGGGCUCAGUGUACCCUGGGGUUCAAACCAGUGACCAUCCGAUUACAGGUAUAGAGCCCUAACCUGCUGUGCCACGCAUGCCCCCCCCCCGAUUAUGUUAUUUGUUCAUUGCAGGCGGCACAGCAAUGAAGGGGCUGUACUUGUUGUUGAAUUUCAGCUGGUAAAAAUCCCUACGAGCUGAUAUCUUUCCUCAGGGGAAGGAGUUCCAGCGUUCAGCAGUUAAAAAAGAAACGUUCAUGCAGUAAUCGUCGCUAAUUAUGUAUGCGACUUAAAAGCUUGGCCUGGCAGGUUCCUUUCCAGCCCGAAUCCCCGGAAUCCCGCGAGCAGCCAGCCUGGUAAUUAUCGCCGUUACCAGUGAACGGUUGUGAGGAGUGAUUUCAGAGAGCGAAGCCGGGAGUUUUACUAGGUGGCAUUCAGGUGGUGCACUAGGUGGUGCACUAGGUGGCAUUUAGGUGGUGCACUAGGUGGCAUUUAGGCGGGGCAAUAGGUGGUGCACUAGUUGGCAUUUAGGUGGUGCACUAGGUGGUGCACUAGGUGGCAUUUAGGUGGUGCACUAUGUGGCAUUUAGGUGGUGCACUAGGUGGCAUUUAGGCGGGGCAAUAGGUGGUGCACUAGUUGGCAUUUAGGUGGUGCACUAGGUGGUGCACUAGGUGGCAUUUAGGUGGUGCACUAUGUGGCAUUUAGGUGGUGCACUAGGUGGCAUUUAGGCGGUGCACUAGGUGGCAUUUAGGUGGUGCACUAGGUGGUUCACUAGGUGGCAUUUAGGUGGUGCACUAGGUGGUGCACUAGGUGGCAUUUAGGUGGUGCACUAGGUGGUGCACUAGGUGGCAUUUAGGUGGUGCACUAGGUGGUGCACGCUGACCUCCGCCCCAUCGACCAUGACGACGGCUCGGUGUGUUUUGGUGCCUAGCCAAAGGCACGUGUUCACAAAUCAUCGCCCUGACAGCCGCAUGCUCCAGACACCCCUGAAACAAACUCUGUAACACUUCUGAACUUUUUAAAACCACAUUUACUCCUGAUUAAUGUGUCUGAAGCCCAGCUGAGUACUGCGUUGGUUGAUUACUCAUUAAGUGCCAGAAUCUUGUUAAGGUCUGUAUACUGGUUACUGAGUUCAUAAAUGACUUGUGGUUUUUAAAUAAGAAAUAUAUUGAAGCGUAAGAAGCCAGUUUAAGGUAAAACAAACAGGCCCCUGGGUAAAGUAACAGUCAUCGUUUGACGGAGUUCUGCUGUCGUUUUGGUUCGUUUGUGCUGUGUGUCUUCAGCGGCGUGCCGGACCAGGGCGACU